CCACAGGGCAGGCUGACAGGUUGUGUGAAGACAAAGCUUCUGGAAGACUGGCUCGACCAGCAUGGGCGAGUUGAGCAUAGUUCAGUGUACGCGUUGUGCUCUUUCACUGAGUUUUGAAAGGAACAGAAACUGGCUACUCUUUACUUGACUGAUGUAGCUGGUAAGGGGACGCGCUGCUGUAACUGGCAAGCUGCCUUUCCAGAACACGUGCUGAUGCUAUAACUAGUGAGACUGAAUGUCAACAAGGUCCAGGAGAAACAGGAGAGCUACCAGAGGAGAAUCAAGACCAAGUUCUUUGACAUCCGGGCGAAUGACUUGGUUUGGAAGAAGGACCAAAGAAAGGCGAGACCUGGGAAAACUUUCUGCUCUUUCGCUCCUAGCUGGGGUCACCAUCUAUUAAAUUAAGGUAAAUAUUAAAAUCUCAGAUAAUAACUAUUUGCACACAAACUUACCUGAAGCUAGUUUUAGUUUUCCUAACUCUGAUAUUGUCACGAUUGCUAGGAGUGGUGGUAGGAGUCAGGCGCAGAGAGCAGAGGUAAGAAAAAUGAGUUUUAUUUUUCUCUGGUUCGACAACGGUCGACGCCAACACAACAGGCGUGAGAACUAAGUGCCCAACCCAUACACAACGGGUCCACAGUUCGGAAAGAAAAUAACUCAAGCAGAUCGCCAGCACAUCCAAAAAAAGCACACUGACGAAAAUAAUCCCGCACAAACCUGGGCGGGCUAAACAGGCUUAAAUAACCACAAAUCAAGAUACACAAAUAAGGAACAGGUGCAAACAAUAAGACAUACCAACCAAAAAGGAAAAAGGGAUCAGCGGCGGCUAGUAGGCCAGCGAAGACGACUGCCGCCAGAGCAGGCAGGGGAGCCACCUUCGGUGGGAUUCGUGACAGAUAUUUUCCUCUUUAUGUGGAGCUAGGGGUUCAGCCUAACACCCAGAUGAGGAUCCACCUGAUGUCCUCCAUUACCAACCACCCUCCAACUUUUCAUUAUAUAAUCUACAGCUACUCUUAUUGGCAUUAUCUGCUAAGAAAGCUUGCUUGCUUUAUCAUACUGGGCCAUAAUACUGUAUGUGAGAUACACAGAUGCACUAAAAACACUAGCACUGCAAACACUCAGAAUGAAGAGAGCAGCAGUGCCUGGACUUCAAAGUCUCCUUCUUCAAGUCCUCCUACCAAGACUGGCUGCCUGUUGAGAACAAGUGACAGGCAGAACCACCCACCCACACAGCACCCUACUCCUCUCUAUUCCACACACCAUAAUUGAGUAUUUGAGUCUAUGAUUUCCAUGUGAG
rnacentral:lncRNA from 1 species